GCGGUUGUGGCGAAGAGGUUAACGCCCCGGAUUGUGGCUCCGGUACUCGUGGGUUCAAGUCCCAUCAGCCGCCCCA
rnacentral:tRNA from 4 species